rnacentral:lncRNA from 1 species
AAGCGGAUGUUUGUUAUGAAAAAAAGUCGCUUAAUUUAUUAAAAGAUGUGAAAUGUUUGUUGACAUAUCUGAAUGUAUGUACUUCAAACGGUUGCAAUCAAACAAUAUGAAAUAUGAAAUAUGUCUGGCAAAGACAAUAUUAUAACCAAGUAUAUUUUGACAAGUGUAAAUCAUAGAUUGGGAAUGUCAGAAUUAUUUAAUUGUUGAUUGUUUACUUAAUAUAAAUGUUUGUCAAUCACACUGCAAUAGCCAGAUUGAUUGGUAUAGUAUAUGUACAUGGAUUUGUCUCUUCUGGAUUGAAGUUGUACUUUGAACGCUUUAUAAAGUGACUGACGUGAAAAAUUAAAGUGUUUAUUUAUAUAGCUCUAUUCCUAUUUAACUAUCUGUCGGGAUUCUACCACUUACUUUCUCCAGUUUUUUUUCUCUAUCAAUUGUCAUAUCAACUAACAAAUAUUAAUCAACACAUAAUCUAAACGAAUAUAAUGUCAAACGCUAUUGCUAGAAAAACAUUAAAAAAUAAUAGUUGUUAUGAUUUUUGCGUGGUCUUUUAUAUUCAGCAUGUAACUCAAAUCUUGCCAAAAAAAAAAAAAAGAAUCUACUGACCAAUUAUUUCAAUAUUUAUAUAUGAUUAAAUAUAUAUAAUUUUAUAUGUUUAUAUGUGCAUAUAUAUAUUAAAUAUGCAUGAUAUAAAAUUAUAUUGCAUGAUGUAAUUAAAAAAUGGCUAAUUAUUUCAAUAUUUAUAUAUGAUUAAAUAUAUAUAAUUUUAUAUGUUUAUAUGGCCAUAUAUAUAUUAAAUAUGCAUGAUAUAAAAUUAUAUUGCAUGAUGUAAUUAAAAAAUGAUCUAAGUUUUGGUUUUUUGAAAAAAAAUGUAAUUGUAUACAUAUGCAUGCAUAUAUACAUACAUUAUAUUUCUUUAAUUAAUAAUAUUAAAAUUACAAUAGUAAUAAUCAAUAUUUUUUAUAAUUACGAAUAUUAUAAGGCAAAUUUUUACAAACUUUUUUUUGUUUGUAGAAUUGCCAUAACGUAAAACGUGAAACGUUAUUUCUAAAAAAACAUUAAAGAUAAUAGCUGUUAUGAUUUUUGCAUGGUCUUUUAUAUUUAGCAUGUAGCUCAAAUCUUGUGAAAAAAAAAUAAAGUCUAGUGACCAAUUACUUCAAUAUUCAUAUAUGAUUAAAUAUAUAUAAUUUUAUAUGUUUAUAUGUGCAUAUAUAUAUUAAAUAUGCAUGAUAUAAAAUAUAUAAAAUGAUGUAAUUAAAAAACGAUCCAAGACGUUAUUAGAAUUUGUUAUUGUAUGCAUAUGUAAUCUAUUUCUGUUUAUAGAAUGAAAAAUCAUUUUGAAUUCGACAUUUUAAAUAAUGAAAAAAUUAUUGCAUGAUUUAAAUAUGCAUGUAAUUUCAAUUAGAUUAAACAAAAAUGUAAAAUGCAUGUAAUAAUUUUGUGGUGAUUAUUUUUUUUGCAUGCCACUUUAUAAUCAGCCUUAUAUUUAUUAUCUAUUUUAUAAGAAAUUUAUUAGCACUCUUUUUAGUGUGUAUGAAAGAUUGUUUAUGUACACUGUAUAUAACUUAUAAUUCUUUUUAUUUAAACAUUGGGUUCUAUAUCAUAUAUUGUUUAACAAAUUAAAAUAUAUGAAACCUUAUAUGUUGUAAAGCAUGGUUAUAUAGAUUUAAGGUAAAAAUUUGACCGGCUGCGCCGAUGUAUGGGCCCAAUUGUUUUUGGGACUCAUAGAUGGGGCAGCAGUCUGCUCCAUCGAUAAAUAUAGGUUAGGGUUCACUUGAAACCAAAGGUAUUGCUUCGCCUUAAA